rnacentral:rRNA from 1 species
AGUCAAUAGAUACCCUGGUAGUCCUGGCAGUAAACGGUGCGCGUUUGGUGUGGGAGGAUUCGACCCCUUCUGUGCCGGAGCUAAACGCGUUAAACGCGCCGCCUGGGGAGGUACGGUCGCAAGAUUAAAACUCAAAGAAAUUAGACGGGGGCCCGGCACAAGCGGUGGAGUAUGUGGCUUAAUUCGAUGCAACGCGAAGAACCUUACCUAGCCUUGACAUGCAUCUCUAAGUCGGUGAAAGCCGGCGACUAUAGCAAUAUAGAAUUUGCACAGGUGCUGCAUGGCUGUCGUCAGCUCGUGUCGUGAGAUGUUGGGUUU